AGAAGGGUUGUGCUAAUCUUUAUCACACCAAUGUAUCAGAAGGGCACACUGAGCAAAGCAACCCAUGUGAUGGUCUAAAAAGUAGCAUCAUUAAUGCUAGUGGUGGUACUGUGAAUACUAGCCCUAACCCUUUUGCGGUCUUCAAACUCUUGACCACAUCAGUGAAGAUGUUAGCUGUGUCUCCUUAUAACGUCUGCAGUGGAGAGGUUGAGGAAGAGAAAUCAUCUAAGGUUUUGAAGUCUACAUCUGGUAGUGCUCCUAUUAAACCUCACUCUCACCCUCCGGAACUAGGUCACAUUUCCCCCCUUCUCCAGGUUUCUUAAGUAUCUCUACCACUCUCCUUGAUAAUCCAGUGUUGAGUGAUCAUGGAAGUCCAAGAUGUGAUCCAGCACCGGGUGAGCUGCAAUCAAAUGUACAUCGUGAUAAACCCAGAGAGCGAAGCUACUCACCCAAUCGCAAUAGAGUGGUGGAUAGAAGAAGCUUGGGUAAAGAUCGAUCUUAACACGAUGAGCUACGGGAAUUCAAAUCACAGCAUUCUGAUAGGCUCAACAAGAGCCAUAGUGAACGAUCGACUUCGAGGUCGGAAAAUUCUAGGGACUCCUGAUUUUAGUCCGUUGCCACAGUACCCUAACUCAUCAUCCAUGAAGAUGUUAGUGUGGAAUCGUCGAGGAGUCGGUAACAGUGUUUUUAAGCAUAACAUGAGCGAGCUAUGGAAAUGCCACAAUCCAUCCAUCAUUGUUUUUAUGGAGACAAAGGUUCAACUUAGUUCUAUGGGCCUCUUCUUCUAUAAUCUGGGAUUUACUCCCUCUAAUUACGUUGACCCGGUGGGUAAGUGUGGAGGUAUAUGGCUCAUUUGGGACCUCUUUAAAGUGACUAUUAUGGCCUUGGAAGCUAAGCCUCAAGUUAUUCAUGCCAAAAUCAAGCGACACUAUUUCCCUGAUUGGAUUCUUUCGGCGGUUUACGCCAGCCCCAACCCCGAAACCGUGACAUUUUGUGGGAUAAUUUAGAUCUAUGGUAGUUAUGCCAGGACCAAGAAGUUUGCUGCCAGAUUGAAUCGUUGUAAGCUUAUGGACUUGGGCUGUUCAGGACCUAACCUUACCUGGUCAAAUGGGCGUCAGGGUAUGGCUACUACUCUUGAAAGAUAGACUAAAGUUGAACAUUGAUGGUAGCACAAAAGGAGACCUUAGGGAAGGAGGCUUUGGUGGUCUUAUUCAUGAUGAGAAAGGCAUAUGGGUCAUUGGUUAUUAUGGGAAGCUUGAUGUUUGUACAAGUUUAGAGGCGGAGCUUUGGGCUAUCUACUGAGGCUUAACUAUUGCCUUCGAUAAGGGGUAUAAAGAUCUCACUAUUAAAAUGGAUUUAUCAUCUGCAAUUGAGCUUUUGAAAGAAGGAUCUAUGGUCUCUUCUUCGGUUAAAAGCUUGGUGGAGGACUCUAAAUUUCUUAUGCAAAGGUGUGGCUAUACCAUUUAGCAUGCUUUGCGCGAAGGAAAUAACAGUGCGGAUGACCUUGUGAAGUUAGGAGCUACUCAAGCAGAGCCUCUUGUAGUCAUGGAUGAAACCCUUAUAGAAAUUAGAGGGUUAGUGAUAGCAGACAUGGUUAGACGAGGAUACCUUAGGCUCUGAUUUGUGUACCCCAACUGUUUGUGCUUCUCUGUUUAUUUUUUUUUUCUUUAGUUUCCUUUGUCUGUUUUCCUUUUCCGAUGUACCAAAAAAAAAAAAAGAAAAAGAAAGAAGCUAUUGCCAAACCAAAGUGAUUAUAGAAAGGGCGUGCUUAACUACUUUGGUAUUAAGGUGAGUGAAAUUUUAAGUUCGAAUUUAUAAAGAAAUAUUAAUGUACGUUGUAAUUU